UCCCUGGACUAUUUGCCAGUCGCGAAAAGUCCUCGAGCCUAUUUUACGAAUUUAGGGGGUUUUCAGCCGAUGAUGUGUGCAUGUCUGCUCUGCAGAAAGCCUAAUUCAUCGCGAAGGUCCCCGCCUUGAACUGCUUGGUUCAAGGUCUGACGUGAUAGCGGUAGUCUGGGG
rnacentral:other from 1 species